GAGAAAACAUCUUGCUCUGUUGCUCAGGCUGGAGCGCAAUGGUGCCAUCGUAGCUUACUGUAACCUUGAACGUCUGUGCUCAAGCAAUCUUCCUGCCUCAGCCUCCUGAGUAGCUGGGACUACAGAGGUGCUGGUUACGUGGGAAUUUGAUUUGUCAAAACUGAUUGAAUGACACAGGAUGUAUUUUGUUUUGCUUGUUAAACAAGUAACUCUACAAAUCGGAAAACGUGCCUUGUCAGUAUACCCCAGUAGAGACGAGGUUUCACUGUGUUAGCCAGGAUGGUCUUGAUCUCCUGACCUUGUGAUCCACCCGCCUCGGCCUCCCAAAGUGCUGGGAUUACAGGCGUGAGCCACCGCACCCGGCUACAAUGGAUAAAUGAUUUCUUAUUGUACUUUUAAUUUGCAUUUCUUUGAUUACUGUGAGGUUGAACCAUUUAAAAAUAAGCAUUGCCUUUUGUG
rnacentral:lncRNA from 1 species